ACCACCUCCGCCUCCUCCACCACCUCUACCUUUUCCUUCUCCUCCACUUCCAUAUCCAGACCCGCCUCCAUAUCCAGAACCGUAACCUGACCCACUUCCAAUUCCUAAGCCUCCACCUCCACCACCGCCUCCUCCUUUUCCACCGCCUCCACCUCCACCACUUCCUCUCCCACCACCAGAGCCAGAGCCGUAGCCUGAGCCACUGCCAGACCCAAAGCCGGAACCAUACCCUUUACGACCAGACGCGCCACCACCACCACCACCUCCGCCUCGACCUGCACCUCCUCCACCACCGAACCCUUCUGCACCACCAUAUCCUUCACCACCUCCAGACCCAUAUCCCGAACCAUAACCGGAGCCAUACCCAACUCCUGCACCUAAACCACCACCACCUCCACCACCUUGUCCUCCUCCUCCACCACCUCCACCUCCUUUACCAAAAAUCGAAUUUGACGACCUUCCAGCGAAGCAGAGCUCGACAAGGAGCAAGACCAAUAAUGCAGCACCUAGCACCCUUGAGCUUGCCAUUUCCAAGCUUCCAAAACACAAAGCUAGUAUAGCUUACAAUAAAGAUUCAAGAAACUCUCUCUCCCUCUAUAGGUCUGUGUUUAAGUGUACAUAUAAGUGUUUGAUAAGAGAAGCCAAUGCUUAUGGUGGGUGGAAAAUGGUUAAGGAGCUAACCCUAUAUAUAGGCAUUGCAAAGACAGAUUUCUUGAAAAGAUUCUUAAA
rnacentral:misc_RNA from 1 species